AACAGAUACUUCAGGGUUCCUAGGGCAAGUCAUUCCUCUUUUUUUGGAAAGAAGGAAAUUUUCUCAUAUUUUCCACAUUCAUUGAUUGCGCUGGUUUCAGUGAUAAAUAUGGUGGAACAGUGGUUCUCAAAUUUUAGUGUGCUCGUUUUCACCUGGAACGCGUGUUAAAACAGAUUGCUGGGCCCCAGAUUCAGAAUCUCUCAUUUAGUAGGUCUUGGGUGGGGUCCAACAAUUUGCAUUUCCAGGUGAUACUGAUAAUGAUGUUCAACCACUCUAAUGAGGGAACUGCCUCAUUAGAGGAUUUCUACCUUUUUUAUUAAAGCACAGGUGAAAAGGAAUUGGGGUUUUUUUUUUAAGGAAGAGGGCUUUGCCUCAGGUCAGAAACCCAAGGAUUUACUCAGCCUACAUAUUGUUCUAAGUCUGGAAGGCACCUCUGCUACCAAAAACCAUUUAGCGAUACUCGUCAAUCCAGGGAGGAGAAACUGUGCUAGUACAAUGGAGAUUAAAAAGAUGCAAAUUAAAUUCUUCCUUCAAGCUCACAGCAAAAUGACAUGAAUUUCUCAGAAACUCAGGAUAAAAAGUAUUCAAAGUCUCAACAGUAAAUUGGGUGGUUUUUUUGUUACCAAGAUUACCAGCUUGGGAGUUCUGAUAUCCAAAGUAUGAAGCUAUAAGUACAGUUUUGCUCUGAAAUAGCCUGGAGGUUGUGAAAGUUGAUGUCACCAGGGUCCAGAGUGUUGGCACAUGACUUCAAACAAGAGAUCAAAGUGAAUUUCCAGAGGAGUUCCAAGUGUGUUCUGAAGAUUCACCCGGAGCUAACAUCUGUGCCAAUCUUCCUCUACUUUGUAUGUGGGAUGCCUCCACAGCAUGGCUGAUGAGUGGAGCAAGUUCACACUGAGGAUCUGAACUUGCAAACCUGGGCUGCCGAAGUGGAGCAUAAAGAAAUUUAACCAGUCAGCCACGGGGCUGGCCCCCUGGAUUGAGUAUUUUUUAACUUCCAUUUUACUUAUUUCCAUUAUUGGAUUAUUACUUUUACUGCUUUUUAAAAAUGUUUGAUCUCAUGUGCUAGCAUUGGCAGUAUACAUCUCUAAUUACUUGCAUUCUAUCUUCACAUAAUAGGUAGGUUGAAGACUCAUAACAGUAUACUUCCAAUUCCACCUUUCCUGCCUUUGAGCUAUUGUUGCUAUAGAUUUUACUUUUAUAUAGUGUAUAAAGGCAUGAUAAAUUUGUGCUAUUUUUGCUUUAGACAAUUUUCUAUUAGUGUCAUUAAAAAUAAAAAAACUCUUUUGUGUUUACUUUCAUUUUAACCAUUUCUAGAGAUCUUUAAUGCUCUGUAUAAAUCUAAGCUUGUGUCUUAUAUCAUAUUCUUUCUGCCUGAAGAACUUCCUUUUACACUUUAUAGUGCAUGUGUACUGGUAAUGAAUUCUUUCAUCUUUUCUUUGUCUGAAAAAGAUGUUAAUUUGCCUCAUUUUUGAAGGAUAUUUUUGUUGUGUAUAGAAUUCUCAGUUGCAAUUUUUUUCUUUCAACAUGUCUUCUUAUUCUCAUACUUUCUGAUGAGAAAUCUGUUGUCAGUUUUACCUUCAUUCCUCUAUAUGUAAUGUGCCCUUUUUCUCUGGUUGUUUUUAAUAUUUUCUUUCUCUCUCUCUUUUUUUUUUUUUUUUUCUUUUCACUGCCUUGUAUAUAUGUCUAUUUUUUUUUAAUUAUUUAUCCUGCUUGGGAAUCUCUGAGCUUCUGGAAUAUGUGCAUUUGAUGUGCUUCAUUAUUUUUGGAAAAUCGUUAACCAUCAUCCUUCAAAUAUUUAUUCUGUCUAUUCUCUCUCUUAACUUCUUCUAGAUUUCAGUUGGUGUAUGUUAGACCAUUUGAUAUCAUCUUAUAGCCCUUGGAUGCUCUCAUCUGUUUCAUUCAGUCUCUGUCUCUUUGUAUUUCAGUUUAGGUAAUUUCUAUUGACCUAUCAUUAAGGUUGCAGAUUGUUUUAUUUAGCUGUAUCAUGUCUAUUAAAGUAAAAGUUGAGGGCAUUCUUCUUUUGUUUCUGUGUAUUUGUUUCUAGCAUUGUCAUUUGACCCUUUCUUAUAGUUUUCAUAUCUCCACUGAAAUUCAAUAUCUGUUCAUGCAUGUUGACCUCCGAUCCUGCUAGAGCCUUUCACAUGUUUGUUAUAGUGAUUUUAAAUUUACUAUAUGGUGGCUCAACAUAUGGGUCAUCUCUGGAUCUAUCAGUUGCUUUUUCUCUCGUCAGUAGGUUGUUUUGUUCUUGCUUUUUUGUAUUUUUCAUUGAAUAGUGAGUAUCAUGUGUAGAACAGUAGAGAGUGAGAUAACUACUAUUUCUGCUUGGAAAUGGGUCUACCUGUCUUCUGCUAGGCUGUUAUUGUGGGGUGUUAGGUCAGUCUAUUCAGAAGUGAGCAGGGUUUGGGUUUUGCUGUUGCUGUGGGUUCAUUCACUAUAUCCCCGGCUUCAAAUUCCUCUAGCAUUACCUCCUGUUUGGGGUGGGGUCUUGUUUGCCAUUGGUUUUUUUUGUUGUUGUUGUUAAGGAAGAUUGGCCCUGAGCUACCAUCUCUUCCCUAUCUUCCUCUUUUUGCUUGAGGAAGAUUGUCCCUAAGCUAACAUCUGUGCCAGUCUUCCUCUAUUUUAGGAGUGGGAUGCUGCCACAGCAUGGCUUGAUGAAUGGUGUGUAGGUCUACACUCAGGAUCUGAACCUGUGAACACCAGGCCACCAAAGUGGAGCAUGUAAACUUAACCACUACACUACCAGGCUUGCCUUUGCCAUUGGAUUUUCUUAAUGUUUCUGCUCCAUCUUGAGCAACAGACCUUCCCUG
rnacentral:lncRNA from 1 species